rnacentral:rRNA from 1 species
UACGGGGGGGGCAAGCGUUGUUCGGAAUUACUGGGCGUAAAGGGCUUGUAGGUGGCCAACUAAGUCAGACGUGAAAUCCCUCGGCUUAACCGGGGAACUGCGUCUGAUACUGGAUGGCUUGAGUAUGGGAGAGGGAUGCGGAAUUCCAGGUGUAGCGGUGAAAUGCGUAGAUAUCUGGAGGAACACCGGUGGCGAAGGCGGCAUCCUGGACCAUGACUGACACUGAAAAGCGAAAGCCAGGGGAGCAAACGGG